rnacentral:rRNA from 1 species
UAGUCGAAUACUGUGGGUGGCGAGUGGCGGACGGGUGAGGAAUGCGUCGGAGUCUGCCUAUGUGUGGGGGAUAACGUAGGGAAACUUACGCUAAUACCGCAUACGACCUACGGGUGAAAGUGGGGGACCGCAAGGCCUCACGCAGAUAGAUGAGCCGACGUCGGAUUAGCUAGUUGGUGGGGUAAAGGCCCACCAAGGCGACGAUCCGUAGCUGGUCUGAGAGGAUGAUCAGCCACACUGGUAACUGAGACACGGUCCAGACUCCUACGGGAGGCAGCAGUGGGGAAUAUUGGACAAUGGGCGCAAGCCUGAUCCAGCCAUGCCGCGUGUGUGAAGAAGGCCUUCGGGUUGUAAAGCACUUUUGUCCGGAAAGAAAAGCAUCGGGUUAAUAACCUGGUGUCAUGACGGUACCGGAAGAAUAAGCACCGGCUAACUUCGUGCCAGCAGCCGCGGUAAUACGAAGGGUGCAAGCGUUACUCGGAAUUACUGGGCGUAAAGCGUGCGUAGGUGGUUUGUUAAGUCUGAUGUGAAAGCGCUGGGCUCAACCUGGGAACUGCAUUGGAUACUGGCUUACUAGAGUGCGGUAGAGGGUAGUGGAAUUCCCGGUGUAGCAGUGAAAUGCGUAGAUAUCGGGAGGAACAUCUGUGGCGAAGGCGACUACCUGGACCAGCACUGACACUGAGGCACGACAGCGUGAGGAGCAAACAGGAUUAGAUACGCUGGUAGUCCACGCCCUAAACGAUGCGAACUGGAUGUUGGGUGCAACUAGGCACUCAGUAUCGAA